CGCGGGGUGGAGCAGCUCGGUAGCUCGCUGGGCUCAUAACCCAGAGGUCGUCGGUUCGAAUCCGGCCCCCGCUACCA
rnacentral:tRNA from 6 species